rnacentral:rRNA from 1 species
GCCAAACAGCUAGCUUAACUACCUAAUAACUAAACAAUAUAAAUAAAAUAAGAUAGACCUAACACUAAAAAUUAAAUCAUUCUUUUACCUGAGUAUGGGCGACAGAAAAGGUUCCACAAAGCAAUAGAAAUAGUACCGCAAGGGAAAGCUGAAAGAGAAAUGAAAUAACCCAUAUAAGCAAUAAAAAGCAAAGAUUAAACCUUGUACCUUUUGCAUCAUGAUUUAGCCAGUACACCCAAGCAAAGAGACCUUUAGUUUGAAACCCCGAAACCAGGUGAGCUACCCCGAGACAGCCUAUUGAGGGCCAACCCGUCUCUGUGGCAAAAGAGUGGGAAGAUCCCCGGGUAGAGGUGACAGACCUACCGAACUUAGUUAUAGCUGGUUGCCUAGGAAAUGAAUAGAAGUUCAGCCUUGCACCCCCUCAACGCUCACAAGCCUACUAGACUGCACGAGUAAGAGAGACAUGCAAGAGUUAGUCAUAGGGGGUACAGCCCCUAUGUUUUAGGAAAAAACCUUUUCAGGAGGUUAAAGAUUAUAUUAACUAAGAUAAACUGCUCUAGUGGGCCUAAAAGCAGCCAUCUAGAUAGAAAGCGUUAAAGCUCCGGCAGACAUAAAUCUAUUAUUCAAAUAUUAAAUCUAAAACCCCUAAUAAUACUAGGCUAUCCCAUGCAUUCAUGGGAGAAAUACUGCUAAAAUGAGUAAUAAGAAGUUAAACAUACUUCUCCCGGCCUUUGUGUACGCUAGAUUGAACCCCUCACUAGCAAUUAUCGAGCCCACCAAAAGAGGGCACUAUGAAAAUAUCAAAUAACAAGAAAAUAUCACAUGAUUUAAUCGUUAAACCCACACCGGAAGGCCACUAAAGGAAAGACUAAAAGAAAAGGAAGGAACUCGGCAAACAACUAAGCCUCGCCUGUUUACCAAAAACAUCGCCUCCUGCGACACAACCAAGUAUAGGAGGUCCAGCCUGCCCAGUGACUACAAGUUCAACGGCCGCGGUAUUUUGACCGUGCAAAGGUAGCGCAAUCACUUGUCUUUUAAAUAGAGACCUGUAUGAAUGGCUAAACGAGGGCUUAACUGUCUCCCCUUUCCAGUCAGUGAAAUUGAUCUACCCGUGCAGAAGCGGGUAUAAUAAUACAAGACGAGAAGACCCUUUGGAGCUUAAGGUACAAAACUCAACCACGUUAAGCAACUCAAUAAAAAGUGAAAACUUUGUGGAACAUGAGAUUUUACCUUCGGUUGGGGCGACCACGGAGGAAAAAAGAGCCUCCAGGUGGAACGGGAGAAUUUCCUAAAACUAAGAGAGACAUCUCUAAGCCACAGAACAUCUGACCAAAUAUGAUCCGGCUAAUACAAGCCGAUCAACGAACCAAGUUACCCUAGGGAUAACAGCGCAAUCCUCUCCCAGAGUCCAUAUCGACGAGGGGGUUUACGACCUCGAUGUUGGAUCAGGACAUCCUAAUGGUGCAGCCGCUAUUAAGGGUUCGUUUGUUCAACGAUUAAAGUCCUACGUGAUCUGAGUUCAGACCGGAGCAAUCCAGGUCAGUUUCUAUCUGUAACGCUACUUUUCCUAGUACGAAAGGAUCGGAAAAGAGGGGCCAAUGCUCAAGGCACGCCCCACCCCUAAUUUAUGAAAACAAAUAAAUAAAAUAAAGGGAGGGCCAAAACCCCAGCUGGCCAAAAUAAGGACAU